AGAUUGAACGCUAGCGGCAGGCCUAACACAUGCAAGUCGAGCGGCAGCACGGGUACUUGUACCUGGUGGCGAGCGGCGGACGGGUGAGUAAUGCCUAGGAAUCUGCCUGAUAGUGGGGGAUAACGUUCGGAAACGGACGCUAAUACCGCAUACGUCCUACGGGAGAAAGUGGGGGAUCUUCGGACCUCACGCUAUCAGAUGAGCCUAGGUCGAUUAGCUAGGUUGGUAGGGUAAAGGCCUACCAAGGCUACGAUCCGUAACUGGUCUGAGAGAUGAUCAGUCACACUGGACUGA
rnacentral:rRNA from 1 species